rnacentral:rRNA from 1 species
GACGUAGGGCGCGAGCGUUGUCCGGAUUUAUUGGGCGUAAAGAGCUCGUAGGCGGCUUGUCGCGUCGGCUGUGAAAACCCGCGGCUUAACUGUGGGCGGGCAGCUGAUACGGGCAGGCUGGAGUUCGGUAGGGGAGACUGGAAUUCCUGGUGUAGCGGUGAAAUGCGCAGAUAUCAGGAGGAACACCGGUGGCGAAGGCGGGUCUCUGGGCCGAUACUGACGCUGAGGAGCGAAAGCGUGGGGAGCGAACAGG